CGCAUACACUCUCUCUCGCAUAUCUCUGGUUGCCUUGUCUGCCUCUCUGCUCUCUCUAAGUGUAGAAGAAUACACAGACAGAAAGAAAAACUUGGUAGCCACUUUCCCUCGUGAUUUUGGCCGAUUUAGAGUUGGAUUUCGAAGAUGAUGAAGUUGAAGAAAGGAUAGAUUAAGGCAUAAUUUUAGCACUUGGAGGAGUCAUUUGGAGUCAUUUAGAGCUUGAGUAGGAUUUGCGUAGCGAAGUGAACUACGAAGUUGAAGAUCAAGGUAAAAUAAUUCAUCUUAGUAGCAAACAAGGAGGAGAUGACGUGAUUGAAGAAAUUGUGUUUCCAUCUUCGCUGUCCCUUUUGAGGUUGACUCCGUUCGAACUAUUUGGACUCUUAAUUGCAUUCGCAAGCACAUCCAUAUUGGAGCUAAGGUAUAAAAUGACACCGUAAUUUUGUUAAUAUUUUUUAUAUUGAUGUACUGUAUCCAGAGAUAUGCAUCGUCUAAGGGCAAGAGUUCUGCAUCGUCUAAGGGCAAGACUACUGCAUCCUCGAAGGGCAAGAUUUCUGCAUCGUCCAAGGGUAAGAGUUCUGCAUCCUCGAAGGGCAAGAGUUCUGCAUCGACGGAGGAUGACGAUGAUGCCUUCAUGUAGUUUUUAAGCUGUAUUCCAGUUCUACCGUUUAAUUCAGAUGUACUUGCAUUAUUAGUUUGUACUCUCUUAUUGUAGGGCAUUAUGUUCUAUCUUAAUUUCAUUCUGUAGUUGUUGCACGAUGUUCGAUAUUAGUGGAGGGCAUGAAAAUGCCACUACUUUAUUCUAAAA